rnacentral:tRNA from 1 species
GCAGUGAUGGUUCAGAGGCAGAAUUCUUGCCUUCCAUGUGGGAGACUUGGGUUUGAUUCCCAGACAAUGUA